rnacentral:lncRNA from 1 species
CAGUGGGACCCGCGACCUGCCGUGGUCUCAGGCACUGGAGGACACCUGCAACGCCGUGCGCUAGACUAUGCUACUGAAGGACCUCUACCGCGGCUCAGCCCUGGACUAAGGCACCGGAGGAUCCCCGCCCUGCCCCGCCCCGCGGUGUCCUGGACUGUGCACUGCAGAACCCCCACCCUUCCACACCCUGGACUCUGGCUCCCGAGGACCUUGGCCCCGGCUCGCCCUGAACUACUCCUGCCCCUCAGCGCCCUGGACUGUGGUUCCAGAGGACCUGGUCCUGGGGCAACUUGUGCUACCGCGUGGACUCCAGGACCCCAGUCCUUCCACGCCCUAGACCAAGACACGGGAGAACCUCUGACUCGCCGCCCCCGAACUAGGGCACCAGAGGACCCACACCUUGCCGUGCCCCGGACUACAGCACGGAAGGACCCCCGAUCCGCCGGGCACUGGGCUCCUGCACAGAGGGACCCCCGCCAUGGAGGUCUGGACUACCCCUGCCCCACCGCACCCUGGACUACUGCACGCCAAGACCCUCGCCUGAACACGCCCUACACUCUGGCAUGGGGGAACCCGGCCCCGCAGAGCCCUGGACUCUGGCAUUGGAGGACUCCUCGGCUAGGUUCUGGACUCCUGCACCAGAGGACUCCUGCCCUGCCACACCCUGGACACCUGCACUAG